GACGUGCCUAACAUCAGUAGGCCAACUAAUAUCCAUGGAAGAAAUUACAUCCUCCCUCUCCACACUACACGUAACCACUGACUUCCUUAAUGCCGCUGCCAAAAUAUCCAAAAUAGCGAACUGAUUACUACCAUGUCUACCUCGCUGAUUCCCUCCUCCUCCUCCUCUUUCUCCAAAUGUCGAGCCGGAGCUAAUAAACGGAGUCGAUAUCGGGUUUCUCAAA
rnacentral:misc_RNA from 1 species